AUGGGUCUGUCCUCCUCGAUUUCUGUGGUCUGCGUUUGCAGCUCAUCCUCAUGCGGGAUCUCUGGGGUUUUUCCUCCCCGUUGGAUUCCUGAGCCAUGUAGCCGCUCAAAAUGGCCUCUUCCUCGAGGUUGUGUGGCAGAGAUUUGCCCUGCCUGGUCUCCGUCCUCCGCUCGUUGCCUGGGGGAUGAAGGACAAGGACAGGAUGGGAUUUUCCUCCACGCCAGAGGGAAGGGGAAGGAGAUCCCCCCCCAGUCCGUUCCUGGCAGGAUAGUGUUGGCAGGGGGGUUGUCCUGCAGCCGGGCGCGAUGCUGGGCUGGGAGAUGGAGCAGAGGAGAGGGGGAAAGGGGCAGUGACUUCCUCCUCGCCUGCCUGGGGCUCCCGGGACAUCCUCCUCUUCCUUGCAGCCUCCUGCUCCUCCUCUUUCAUCCGGCCAAGGUUGGGGAAUGGGAAAUCCUGUUUUGGGGCAAAACAAGGGGUGAGCGCGUUGGGUUUGAUGGUCCCAGUGCCCAAGGGCAGCUGGAGAAACCACCGCCCCUUUCAGCCUCGGAGGGCCCAGACCACGCUCAUCUCCAAAAUCCAAACAUCCCCUGCCCCGCAAAAAAAGAUCCUCCCGGAGACCCCCCGAUGGAUAUGGGGCGAGCUCCCCCUCCCCGCUCACCUGCGGGUUCCGGGUGGGCGAUGCUGCCGGACCCGGGGAAACCGCGCGGUUUCCCCCUGCCGCUGCUCCUGUUCCUUCUGCUCCUCUUCUUCCUCCUCCCGCUGCUCUUCCCUUUCCUCCUCCCUCCCUCUGCCCCUCUAAUUCCCGCUCUUCCUGUUCCUCCUCCUCCUGCUUCCCCGCCUCUCUGCCUCACGCUCCUGCCGUUCCUUUUCCUCCUCUGUCUCUCCUCUUCCUCCCGCUCUCCUCCGCUCCCAGCCCGGCCCGGGCAGGCGCCGACACCCAAAAGCAGCCGCGCUCUGCCCUGGGGGUGUCCCCAAAGCAGCCCCGUCCCGCGCGGUGCUGGGAGCGAUGCCGAGAGCCCCGGGCAGGAAUUGGGAGCGCUUUUCCUCCCAGUGCCGCUGUUACUGGGAGCACUGGGAGGGAGCUGGGAGCCAACAGCGCCCGGACCCGGCUACAGCCGGCGGUGGGCGGGGCCAGGCGGAGCGGAGCUAUGCAAAUCAAGGAGCGAUCGAGCGCUGUGA
rnacentral:lncRNA from 1 species